GUGGGUCCCAUUCCACGGGGUCCGUGCCGCAGCUAACGCAUUAAGCGCCCCGCCUGGGGAGUACGGCCGCAAGGCUAAAACUCAAAGGAAUUGACGGGGGCCCGCACAAGCGGCGGAGCAUGCGGAUUAAUUCGAUGCAACGCGAAGAACCUUACCAAGGCUUGACAUGUACCGGAAACUCCCAGAGAUGGGGGCCCCGCAAGGUCGGUACACAGGUGGUGCAUGGUUGUCGUCAGCUCGUGUCGUGAGAUGUUGGGUUAAGUCCCGCAACGAGCGCAACCCUCGUUCUAUGUUGCCAGCACGUGAUGGUGGGGACUCAUAGGAGACUGCCGGGGUCAACUCGGAGGAAGGUGGGGAUGACGUCAAAUCAUCAUGCCCCUUACGUCUUGGGCUUCACGCAUGCUACAAUGGCCGGUACAGAGGGCUGCGAAACCGUGAGGUGGAGCGAAUCCCUUAAAGCUGGUCUCAGUUCGGAUUGGGGUCUGCAACUCGACCCCAUGAAGUCGGAGUCGCUAGUAAUCGCAGAUCAGCAACGCUGCGGUGAAUACGUUCCCGGGCCUUGUACACACCGCC
rnacentral:rRNA from 1 species